GGAUGCGUAGCUCAAUUGGAUAGAGCGUCUGACUACGGAUCAGAAGGUUGGGGGUUCGAUUCCUCCCGCGUUCA
rnacentral:tRNA from 1 species